rnacentral:lncRNA from 1 species
GAGUGAAUGCACAAAAGCAAGAGAACAUCAUGUUUCUAGAGGCUGCCUGCAUUCCUUGGCUCAUGACUUUGCAUCACUCUGACGUCUUGCUCUCACAGUCGUAUCACCUACUACUGGCUCUGAUCUGACUACUUGUUAUAUGGAACAAAGGGAUAAGGAAGUGACUUGCCUAAGUCACUGAGGAACCUAAUAUUGAGAUUAGCACUCAAUGAUUCCUGGCUCUCAGAAUGUGUGCUGCUACCACCAGGCCACACUCUUCCCUCCAGAGAGAAGAUGUAUCAGCAUGGAAUUGUGCUGAAGCAAAGAUGUGAAAUAGAAUGAUUACAUAUCUACCAAGUGGGAAGAUCUGGGUAAGAAUCUAUCAGUGCUGGCAGAGAAGCAAACCAUACGACAUCACUCAUCCCCAGAAAGUGAAGUGAAGGGAAAUAAAAAACUAUCUACACCAUUUGGAAAACACAGCCACCCCAUACCGUUGGAAAAAAAUACACUAAAACAUCUUCAUUUGAUUUGACCUCUAAUAACAUGAAUAAUUAUCUUACAA